UUGGAAAAAUAGAGAAAGGUGUGGAUAGUAAAACAUCAGCCAUGUUUCACUGCCUGGAAAUAGACAGUGGGGUUUUUGGGCAGAGUUUUCCCACUUGCUCCCACCCACAUAUUUACAAAGCCAUGAACACACACACAUGCGAAUGCCUAUAAAGAUUUGCAGCCAUCGCCUGUGGGAAGACUUGCUCUGCCCACUUCAUGGAAUCAAAGUUAGAAUUUAUUUAGAAAAGUAAAAUCUUUUUCACAUACCAAAUGGACUUUUAACUUCCAUGGGAAAUUUCAUAGUGACCUUGUGUAUUCUGCAAGCACCGGACAGACUGUCUUGCAAGAUGAUCUUGAAGAUCAAAAUUGUCAGGUAUAAAUACGAAAAUAUGAAAGGUAUUUUAUUUUAAAGUAAAGUCCAUGAGGGUGGCUUAUUUUCUUGAUCCUCAAACUUCCAGAUGGGGGUACAGUGAACCCCAGCCCAGGUUCAUCUGGACAGGCUCAGUGCAGGCACAGAUGGGCAAAUGUGUCAUUUUUCUUAAUGUACGUGGAAAAGAUGAGUUUUUAAAAAAAUUCGUCUCCUUUAACAUAUUUUCUGGUUUCUGUAUGUUUUGCCCAUGACAGAAGCAAUAUUUAACUUUCUAAGCAGAUAUCUACUUAAUCACAAGCAGAAUCACCACGCAGGAAUUCGCCUGUGUGCUCAUUCCUGCCUGUCCUGCAAUCGCACGCUGUUGUGCAGUGAAUCCACGUACCAAAGCAGAUUGCGUGUGAUUGAACCUGUCUUUAAUUUUAUCCCUUGGCAGUUUCCUUGCUGGUUUCCUGAAGUCCUUCCCCAACUCCCUGGCACCUGGGGUGAGGAUGGCGGAGCCCUGCGCGUCUGUCUAAAGGCCCCAGGGGUGCUGAGGCCUGCACAGCCGGGGACUCUGGUUGCUGUGGGUUCCUCUGCAGGCUGCUCUCUGCCUGCAGGUGGCAGCAUUUCACUUUCUAAUCCUUGUCUCCCUUAGGGACUUGACUUUCAGAAGAAUGGCACAGACUUUCUUUUCAAAAGAAUGAAUAGAAUUCAUAGACGGCCCCCGUAAACACCCUCCACAACUCUGGUUUGCUUUCUUUGGGUGAGCUCGCUUGGAAACCACUGUGAGACUACGGGGCUCAGUCCGACAUGUUGGUCAUGGACACACUGGGGCAAGGUCUCGUUCCAGAGUGCUGGAGAGGACAACAUGGACACACUCGUAGAAGGCGGCUGGAGUGAUGGAGGACAUACUGUGAGCCUUCUCUGCCCCUUCACUCCCAGAGUCCCUCACUGCGGUGUUUCAGGUGUAUUGGAUUUCCACCGCUGCACAAACAUUACCACAACACUGGCGCAAGGUGACGCCCCUUUAUCAGUGAGCAGUUCCGGGGCUGAGGUCGGCCCAGCCGGGCUGGGUUUUGGCUCGGGCCCCACAGGCUAAUGUGGAGGCAGCAGAGGGGCUGCAUUGCCCUCUGCAGCUCGGGGGCCUCUCCCCAGCGCAUGUUUUCAUGGUUGUAAAAUGCAGGCCCCUGUUUUUUUGUAGCUUCUGUACCACCUGCAGUCCCUGACACAAGCCCCGGCUCCAGGGCGGUGGGUGUUCCCUGCCCUCAGUCCGCACUGGACACCAACUCCCCUGUGUCUGACCCCAGGCCUUUCCAUGCCAUACCCUGAGUGGGGACCUAUCCACAGCCCCUUCAUAGCAGCAACAAACAUGUAUUCACGUGAAUAAUAGAGAACAUGGCCCCCACCAGGGCCUGUGGUCUCAGGGACUGCUGCAGACUGAAGGUUUGUGUCCGCCUGAGUCACGUGUUGACACCGACUCUUGCCCUUACCCCAGGCCCCCAGUGCUCCUUGCACCUUCCCCUCGUGAGGUUACAGUGAGAAGACAGCGGUAUGAACCAGGAAGCAGCCUCACACACGGGGGCUGCUUUGAUCAGGGACUUCCUGGCUUCCAGAACUACCAGGGACAACUGGCAGAAACCCAGCGCUUUCUCCUGCUUUCUCCUGUGCCACUGUUGCUCUCUCCUCUAAAAGGCAGAUUUUCCUCCCAUCAGCUCCUGAAGAGUAGUCACAAAGUGGAGGGUGCGCAGCUCAGUUUAGGCACCUGCACACCUCACCCUGCCAGAGGAAUGAGCCAUGUAGCCCUGUAAUUACAGCUGCACCAGGACCAGAAGAAUCACUUAGCAGGCAAAAACAAAACCAAACAACAAAAAACAGAAACAAAAACACUGUGAUUUCAAUGUGUGCCAUGCUUGAAGACAAACAGCACCUUUACGUGGGGCCUGAGAGGUCCUUUAAGGUCUUUAACACGACGAGGAAACUGAGACCGAGCAUCUGGGGAGAACUUGUCCAGGUUUCACUGCAGGAGGAGCUUUACAGGUGAGGCCAGCCAUGUCAGGAUGGUGCAGACGAUGCCGAGCAGAUGAGCUGCUUUUCUGCAGAUGAGGGCUCUGGCUCAUCUCUGAGGUCAUCCUGCAGAAGUGGCUCCUGUGGUCCAGCCACAGGCGGCAGGAAUUUUCAUGCCAUCCCGGACCCUAGUGAAGGUAGAGAAUCCUCCAGAGAAGCCACAGCUGCUCCUCUUGCAGGCUGGCUCCGGGUACCAGCUGUGUGACAGCUCCUGCUCCACGGUGCUGCCACCCAGGCCUAGAGGGAGCCAGGGCUCCUGGAGGUGGAGGCACAGGCAUGGCAGCCCUCCCAGCCCAGGGUGUGCUGCCCAAGCCACCUCCAGACCUCCCCUGCUGCGGGUGGGGGUGGGGCUGCUGGCUCACCCGCUCACCCCUGCAUUUUGCAUUUGUCCUUGAUCAAGGCUGCCCUGGGUGGCUUAAUGUGAUUUCUACAGAGUAACCACAGAGCACUAUAAAACACGUGUUGCCAUUCCUUGAGCUCUUACUGAGCCAGGCCCUGCAGGGCAGAUGGGAAAGGCCCACGAUGAGCUGUAUCCCUGGGAAGUGUGCUUCAGGCAGGAGUUAUUCCGCAAAAGGCUGCAGGAAAAUGAGCCGUGUUUAGGGAGGGAAGAUGAGUCUCCGGGCAGCUCAAUGCACUGUGUCCCUUGGCCCCCUCUCCUAGUGGCUGUGGAGAUGAGCUGAAGGUGCCGUGCAUGAAGGGCUCCCACAGUGGAGGUUAUACAGCUCUUCAGGUGCCUCCUGCCACAGCAGGGUCCCCAGGCAGCCUGGCCUCUCCCACACUUGGCUCAGCCGGGCAGAUUGCACGAGGGCGGAGUCACUUCUGGGCUUUGUGACCUCGGGCACCAACACGCCCUCUUUGAGCCUCAAUUUCCACACCUACAAAGUGGAAUGCAUCACUGACCUCACACAGGGACACGAGAGUGUGCACCUGUCAAGGAUUUUUAGCAGCAUUAAAAACAUGAAGCCAUUUGUACUUCUUUUGAGAAUGUCUGUUUAGUUCACUUGCUCAUUUUUUGCAUUGGUGUUACAGGGUUUUGCAAGGGAAUAGAUUUAACAUGGGACACAUAAUUAAUAGGAUAUUUUAUAAAAAUUACCCAAAAAGUCAAAUGCAGAGGAGUGGAAGGGAUCUAGCCACACACUAGAGACCCAAAUAAUCCAGCCAAGGGUCUGGACGCCACAGCAAUGUCCCACACAAGUCCAGCUGAAGGCCUAGAGUCCAAGGCAGUGUCCUCCACGAGUCCAGCCAGUGGCCCAGAGCCCACGGCAAGGUCUCAUGCUUGUGUGUAUUGAGGAUCUGCACCUGAAGGCCCAAAGGCCAGUGGUGGAAGACAGAAAACCUCCACCGGUGAGAUGAUUUGUGCCACCAGGCUGAGGGAUCCAUGCCGGAGCCAGAAAGUGAGGCUCACAGUGAAGAUCAGAGCUCCCCUGACCAGAACAGCAGCCACCCAAGCUCCUCCUCUGAUGAGAACACCCAGCUCCCAUCAGGAAAAUCAGCCUCAGCAAGCUUCUCCUAGAAAUCAACAGCCCUGAUCUUCCCCUCUAGUCCUCUUUUUAUGCCGUUGGCAACAGUCCUAAGGUCUCUGUAGGAACUGUCCCCAGUGAGGAAAAAUUGCAAAGUAGGAAACCAGACACCACGCCGUCACGUGCCGUGAAGCCAGUCAGCAUCUCUCCUCAUCCAGCAUGGAGCUGUACGUCUGACCUGGCAGACGGGGCUCAGGCAAGGGUCUUGAAGCCAAGCAGAGCAGAUACAGGAAACGAGAGGAGAGGCGAGGGAAGAGAGCUGUGCAUUCUGACACCCCGACAACAGUUUCUGCUACUGUGUCCCCUGCAGUUGGCGACAACUGGGACGCCUCUGUCUCCUGGUGUGGGCACUGUCUUCAGCACCACAUCGAAUGCUUAGCCCUGCCAGGGUAACGCCCUCACUCCACAGUAGAGAAGGCUGGCGCCAGAGUGGGUCAGCGGAGUGCUCAGUGGCAUGGUGGUCCAUGUGCCAACCAGCUGCCCACGGUGCCACGUGGGUUCCUGAGCUGGGGCUCAGCGGGUCCUGGAGCUGUGAUCACGGGCUGUAUUCCUUUCAGGAAAGGGCUUUCCGAAGGGUGUGGUCUGGAACCCGACCUUCUCUGAGUCCUGUCUGCGGAUGGCUGGGAAGGCAGGGUGGGGUGGGUCCACUCAAACUUUGUCACAGAUGUCGCCUGCCUGCCUGCAAGUGCCUUUGUCUGGAGAAAAGAUUAUUAAAGAGCUUUAAAUUCCCCACAGAACACAGCGAGAUGUGUGUGAGAUGCACAUGGCCCUGCGGUUGUUUGUCUCAUGUAUCUUUAACUGUAUUUGGUUAUUUUUGUUGUUACAAUCAAGGCGUUCUUUUUCUUCUCCCAAAUUAGAACUACCUGAAAUGAUUUAAGCAGAUGAUCAAAUUUUGCUUGGAAAAUGUAAUCACGCAAAAUAAAUGUAUUUUAGGAAGCUGUUAUUUCUUUUAAA